rnacentral:lncRNA from 1 species
UAGUGUUAUGAUGGGUAAUACCAGUAGUUGUAAGAUAAUCGGUAUCGGAACAGUAAAAAAAAAAAAAAAUGUUUGAUAGUGUGGUGCGGAUGUUAACAGAUAUGAGACAUAUUUUGGGUCUCAGGUUGAAUCUUAUAUCACCUCAUACUCUUAACAUAUUGAUUGUUCUGGUAUCAUUUUAGAUAGAGUCGUCAAGGUGAAAAGAGUGCUAUGAUGGUCAUGUUGGAAGAGAAUAAAGAGAAUCUGUACAAGUUUAUCAUUGAGCUAGUAACAGCGAAUAAGUCUAGGCAUUCUCUAGAAUUUGCUAACCUGCAUGAUUGUUAAUGUCGGGAUGUCUUAGGGAGUGGGCGAUAAGAUGAGAGAGAGUGAUGAAGUAAAAAAAAAGAACAGAGUGUAGAAUAUUAAAGAUAUGGCUUCUUUUUUUAUUGAUUUAAUUCAU